rnacentral:rRNA from 1 species
GACGAACGCUGGCGGCGUGCUUAACACAUGCAAGUCGAACGGAAAGGCCCUGCUUUUGUGGGGUGCUCGAGUGGCGAACGGGUGAGUAACACGUGAGUAACCUGCCCUUGACUUUGGGAUAACUUCAGGAAACUGGGGCUAAUACCGGAUAGGAGCUCCUGCUGCAUGGUGGGGGUUGGAAAGUUUCGGCGGUUGGGGAUGGACUCGCGGCUUAUCAGCUUGUUGGUGGGGUAGUGGCUUACCAAGGCUUUGACGGGUAGCCGGCCUGAGAGGGUGACCGGCCACAUUGGGACUGAGAUACGGCCCAGACUCCUACGGGAGGCAGCAGUGGGGAAUAUUGCACCAUGGGCGGAAGCCUGAUGCAGCAACGCCGCGUGCGGGAUGACGGCCUUCGGGUUGUAGACCGCUUUCGCCUGUGACGAAGCGUGAGUGACGGUAAUGGGUAAAGAAGCACCGGCUAACUACGUG